UUGACCUAUCUCUCUCGGUCUCUCACUCCCCUUCACGGAACAAAUCCUGAGAAGAGGCACAUCUCCUCUCUCUCGGAUCUCUUUCUCCCUCCCACCAGACCUCUCUCCUUCCCUCUUUCUCUCUCACCUGUCUUUAUGGAGCCCGACCUUCCCUAUCAUCGGCAAACGGCGCAAAUGACAGGGCCUCGUGGGUCUUGUGAAAACGACGGGCUCAGGCUCGUGGGCGGCUCGGUCUCGCGGAGAAGGUGGGUGGCUCGGUCUCACGGAGGGGUGGGUGGCUCGGUCUUGCAGAGGGGGUGGGUGGCUCGGUCUCACGGAGGGGGUGGGUGGCUCGGUCUUGAAAGUAACAGCUGGUUAUGGAGAGAAUGAUUCUACAGAACUAUAUCCAUUUGGUCUCGAAAAUCAGUUGUCCUCGAAAGAGGAAGUGACGGAGAAUAUAGAAAAGAUGGGUAACUCUGCUACUGCGGUUCUUUGCAUUAUUUCUAGGGGAAUUCCAGUCCAAGAGCCAGAAAAUCAUUUAAUGAAAGACACAAUAGGAGUGGUUGCUCUACUUGGAAGAGUUCGACCUCAUUGCAGCCAGCUGAGCAGGAUACUGUCAGAAUACUUGGGUGCAGAUCAAAUGCUUGCUGUUGUCGUUAGAUCUUUCGAAACUGUUGUUCUUCUAGAAAGGUAUAAACAAUCUGGAGAAGUUGAUCGCAGCCAUGCUUUUCAUGAAGAAGCAGCCAUUCUUGGCAAAUCUAUAAAUGGUCGAUUUCUUGUUAUAUGCUUUGACAAUAUAAGCUUGCGGAGAUUUUAAAAUCAUGUGAUUAUAGAACAUUGGCCAUUGGGGAUGGAGGGAAUGAUGUAAGAAUGAUACAACAAGCUGACACUGGAGUUGGAAUCAGUGGGAGAGAGGGGCUGCAGGCAGCAAGAGCAGCUGAUUAUAGUAUUGGGAUCGACCUCGGAGUACCCUUCUUCUUCGUCUCUCUCUGUUCGUUCAACUUGUCACUUGCAAUCCCCUUCUUCUUCGUCAAAUCCCCUUCUGCUGUUUCCAUUGACGAGCUCUGUAAGACGCCGCCGCUGCCUCCAUAUUACUAGCCACCUAAGCUGCCUUCAAAGCCACCCUAUAGCCGCUUUUGUCUCAGUCAUUGUUGAUAACGAUUUUUUACUCUAUAGGGCAGCAGACAAGGACAUUUAUUGAAGCUGUGGAACAAUAUGCUCAAUUAGGUCUUCGUACACUUUGUCUUGCUUGGAGUAUUUUGGAGGAAGAUGAGUAUCAGGAAUGGUCUUCGAUGUUUAAAGAGGCCAGUAGUACAGUGGUUGAUAGAGAGUGGAGACUAGCUGAGGUCUGUCAAAGAUUAGAACAUGAUCUUGUGAUCCUUGGGGUUACCGCAAUAGAAGACCGUUUACAGGAUGUGGUACCAGAAACAAUAGAGGCAUUAAGAAAAGCAGGAAUCAAUUUCUAGAUGCUUACUGGUGACAAGCAGAAUACUGCAAUACAGAUUGCUCUUUCUUGCAAUUUUGUUUCACCAGCUGCCUCUUCUCCUCUCUUCAGAGCCAAAUAAUACACGCCUAAAGGAAUCAAACUAAGAUAUGACAAGCGAAGUAUAAAAUGAUACUUAAGACUCCUUGAAAGUAGUAACUUUGUUUAUUUCUUUGUGUUGAAAGUAGUAACUUUUAGAACUUUUAGACUCCUUGAAUACUUAUAGAAUAUUUUGUUGUUGAUGACAGUGUUGAAUGUUUUAAACUAAAUUGUGGAUUGUUAAUUCAAUGUAGAAUGUUCUUACUUUUUGUUA